rnacentral:rRNA from 1 species
CUCAAAGGAAUUGACGGGGACCCGCACAAGCGGUGGAGCAUGUGGUUUAAUUCGAUGCAACGCGAAGAACCUUACCUGGCCUUGACAUCCAUGGAAUCCCGAAGAGAUUUGGGAGUGCCGCAAGGAACCAUGAGACAGGUGCUGCAUGGCUGUCGUCAGCUCGUGUCGUGAGAUGUUGGGUUAAGUCCCGCAACGAGCGCAACCCUUGUCCUUAGUUGCCAUCAUUCAGUUGGGAACUCUAAGGAGACCGCCGGUGACAAACCGGAGGAAGGUGGGGAUGACGUCAAGUCAUCAUGGCCUUUAUGGCCAGGGCUACACACGUGCUACAAUGGCAGGUACAGAGGGAAGCCAACCGGCGACGGGGAGCUAAUCCCAGAAAACCUGUCUUAGUCCGGAUUGGAGUCUGCAACUCGACUCCAUGAAGUUGGAAUCGCUAGUAAUCGCAGAUCAGCAUUGCUGCGGUGAAUACGUUCCCGGGUCUUGUACACACCGCCCGUCACACCAUGGGAGUUGAUUGCACCAGAAGCAGGUAGCCUGACCGCAAGG